UCUUUUUCCACCGGAGCUUGCUCCACCGGAAAAAGANGAGUGGCGAACGGGUGAGUAACACGUGGGUAACCUGCCCAUCAGAAGGGGAUAACACUUGGAAACAGGUGCUAAUACCGUAUAACAAUCNAAACCGCAUGGUUUUGAUUUGAAAGGCGCUUUCGGGUGUCGCUGAUGGAUGGACCCGCGGUGCAUUAGCUAGUUGGUGAGGUAACGGCUCACCAAGGCCACGAUGCAUAGCCGACCUGAGAGGGUGAUCGGCCACAUUGGGACUGAGACACGGCCCAAACUCCUACGGGAGGCAGCAGUAGGGAAUCUUCGGCAAUGGACGAAAGUCUGACCGAGCAACGCCGCGUGAGUGAAGAAGGUUUUCGGAUCGUAAAACUCUGUUGUUAGAGAAGAACAAGGAUGAGAGUAACUGUUCAUCCCUUGACGGUAUCUAACCAGAAAGCCACGGCUAACUACGUGCCAGCAGCCGCGGUAAUACGUAGGUGGCAAGCGUUGUCCGGAUUUAUUGGGCGUAAAGCGAGCGCAGGCGGUUUCUUAAGUCUGAUGUGAAAGCCCCCGGCUCAACCGGGGAGGGUCAUUGGAAACUGGGAGACUUGAGUGCAGAAGAGGAGAGUGGAAUUCCAUGUGUAGCGGUGAAAUGCGUAGAUAUAUGGAGGAACACCAGUGGCGAAGGCGGCUCUCGGUCUGUAACUGACGCUGAGGCUCGAAAGCGUGGGGAGCAAACAGGAUUAGAUACCCUGGUAGUCCACGCCGUAAACGAUGAGUGCUAAGUGUUGGAGGGUUUCCGCCCUUCAGUGCUGCAGCUAACGCAUUAAGCACUCCGCCUGGGG
rnacentral:rRNA from 1 species